UCAGGCCAGCAUUCACAAACUGGGAAAAGCGGGGCGGGAGGGGGGCGCUGACGGCGCCCAGACAAGAACAGGACUCCAGUCCCUCGUCCUGGAGGCUGGGCCGACCGACUGGGUCAGUUCAGAGAAGGGGGAAGGAGAUCCACGUCCUCGCUCAGGAGGGAGGCAAAGGUCCACUUCCUCACUCUGGAGGAAGGCAGGCAAUCUAUGUCCCCACUUCAGAGGACAGCUGUAGAGGAAGCAGGCUGCUCCGGCUGUCACAGGGUCUUGCAGAGUCUGGCACGUCCCACUAUCUUCACAGUGACUGGAGAAGUACGAACCUACGCCUUCGUGCUGUGCCGCACUGCUAUUUAUUGGCGUCGAAAUGAUGAGCUGCAGGUGUGGAUCUCUGUGGCUGUGAAUCUCCACACGUGCUCAGCAUCAGUGCUCAUCAUUGGCCGUGGCAGUUUUUCCCAUGUACAAUUAUAGAGCCAGAGCUUCGAGGAGCCAGCCCCUGGUGGACGGCAUGAUAUUGCAAGUUUGGCCUCAUUUUUGGUGCAAGGCGCUACGUCCACCUUUAUUAUACAGCAUAUGCUCCUGAGUGUGGUAACUCAGGGACAAGUAUUUAGACAGCACCCUGGCCAGUGACCUCCUGAACUUCUCACCGACAAAUGCAUAAACUACUGGAUUUAUACAGCAGUGAGACAGUGCAAUGAUCUCAGCGAAGCCCAUGGCAGAGCCGAUGGCUUUGAAAACAUUACAGUUGUUCAGAACUCCAAGCUGCUCCAGCGUCUGAAGGAAAACCAGGACAUUGUACGGAACCCAACACACCACAAACACACACACUAUGGUGAAAAUCAGCUUCACAGCUCUGUUCUUUUUGGAGUUCCUGCACUUUGAAAGCACAACAAGGAUUUUCACAUAGCAGAAAACUAUGAUGGGAAGGCACACAAAAAGGCCCACUGUGUUCUCACUGAAGUUUUGCCGCAGCUUCCAGAAGUACUGGCUGUCCUCUGGGUAGACUGGGUGGCAGUGGGAGUCAUUUCCAUCCAUCUCCAAGGAGACAAAUAUCACCUGAGGGGUUGCCAUGAUGACAGAAAUGACCCAGGUGAUGACACUGGCUGUGAUUCCAUAACGAAGCGUCCGGGCUUGAACGGCCGCCACGGCAUGGACGAUGGCCAGGUAGCGGUCCACGCUCAUUAGGGUUACAAACAAAGUCCCACUGUAGAAACCUAACUGUUCAGAGGAGCAGAGGAGGAAGGUGGGUAAGAACAGGAUGUGACAUGAGGUUACACUUCACCAGCCUCAGUGAAGUUCAGCGCUCAGCCGACAUUACAUGGCACCUGUUUCACACACGACAUGAGGACGGUUGUUGUCACCACAGAAAACAUCUGAUAUAAUCUCUAGAAUUCAACUUUGUUAAUGACACGUGGUCUCUUCUAAUAUGUCUUAUAUGUCAGAAUAUGAGUAAUUUGUUAUAUGCAAAUUAAAUAGUAAAAAUAAGAUUAAUUUUAAGAAUAUGAAAGCCCACCUGAUAGACUCCUGUGAUCAGCUUGCAUGAUACAAGGUUCUGGGAACUGUAGGCCCAGAGUGGCAGAGACACAGUCAGUAAAAGGUCAGACAGAACCAGGUUCAGCAGACAGACAUCUGUCAUUGUUUUCACUUUUAUGUGCCGCAGGAGAACCCAGAGAACUGUGCUGUUGCCUGUGAAAUCAAUUCAAAGCAUUCAUUCAGUUCAAUCCAGUGAUGGUGAUAUGGCACCAACUCACAGCAUAAUAAUCAUGUCAGGUUAAGACUGAAUGAUAAUAUAUUAGAUUUCAAAAUCCUAAAUUUUCCUUUGAGCAAAACUUGGACACAGUGGGAAGAGAAAAACUUGCUUUUUGAGCAGACACAAAUGAAGUCAGUUAUUCAUUUUGCUGUUACUUCUGGUAGAAAACCUGUUGAAUUUGUUGCAUGUGUCAGCUGAGAGUGUAGGUUUGCAUGUGAACUUUGUAAUCUUUUUGCUGUUUGUUCCUGACUACUCAUCUUUUCUUUCUUCGUCCUACUCUCACUUCAGCUGGAGUUUUUUUACUAAUAAAAAGUGCUGCCGCCAAGGGAAGCAUUGGGUUUCCCUGUAUAAUAUUGGAAGGUCUUUACCUUUACACCUCUUGCCUUUAGAUUCCAUUGUACAUGUUACUUCCUACUUACUAAUCAUGUAAAUUUUCACUGUCAGUGAGUCUCAAAUGUAAAGCAGAAAUUAAAACAUCCAUUUGAAAUCGUCUUGCAGUACUUCUGACUGAAUGUGAAUAAAAAUGACAUAUCAGUACACCCCA